UGUCAUUCGUAUCGCCAGACUUCGAGAAUCCAACUUUAAACCGGAUCGACGUGCCAGGCUUUUGUCUAACGUCUAGCUUGUCACGCAAAGUGAUCGCCUUCUUACCCGACCCCGAUCCAAUAACGCGUAUAUUGCUGCCCAUUUAUGCCCCUCCAAGUAAGCUACCUACUAAUCUCAAUCUAGAAUCAUUCGACUGGCCGCCAAACUGCCGGAAGAUGAUUCCGCAUUUACUUAGGCGGCGCAAUAUGCCGGAG
rnacentral:misc_RNA from 1 species